rnacentral:rRNA from 1 species
UACGGAGGGUGCAAGCGUUAAUCGGAAUUACUGGGCGUAAAGCGCACGCAGGCGGUUUGUUAAGUCAGAUGUGAAAUCCCCGGGCUCAACCUGGGAACUGCAUCUGAUACUGGCAAGCUUGAGUCUCGUAGAGGGGGGUAGAAUUCCAGGUGUAGCGGUGAAAUGCGUAGAGAUCUGGAGGAAUACCGGUGGCGAAGGCGACGUCCUGGACGACCACUGACGCUGAGACGCGAAAGCAUGGGGAGCAAACAGG